rnacentral:lncRNA from 1 species
AUGUUUAUUUGGCCAAAUCAGAUCGUUCUGCCGUGGCGGAAAAGGCUGUUAUUCUGCUCUUUCGCCAACGCGGAGUUUUCGGCGGUGUUUUCGGUGCCCUCUGCCCUCGGCCGGGUUCGGCCGCCUGCCCCCGCUUCCCGCGGCGGCUGGGCUGUGGCCAGGGCUCCAACGCUUCCUACGGGAGGUGCUGGGGAAGGAGCUGGUGCUGGGGGGGUCACCACAGCUGCGGGGGGGGGGGACAAUGACGACGGGGCUGCUCAGGGAUGCUGCAGCCCCAGGGAGCACCCCGGUCCUGGCAGCCCCAUCCUGGCAUCUCCCCAAAAUCUCGGCCCCAGCCGAAUUCCCAACGGGCAGCCCGGCCCCUGCUGCCUCUUGGCACAGAGCGGAGGGCACCAUGAGGUGGGCUCCGUCCCGGUUAAUGUUUCCUCUGCGGGAUGGAAAACAAGGUGGGAGCCACCACGGCGGUGCGGAGGGAGGACGAGGGGACGGUGGCGUGGCGAGGGGGGGGCUUUGUGCAAACAAGAUAAGGGGCGGGGGGGGCUGGAGGGGCGGGGGGCGAUGGCGGUCCCCAUUGUCCCCAGGGAUAGUCAAGCUGGGGGCACCUGGGGACAAGCCAAAAGCCAGCCCCGGGGCAGGUUCAAGCUGGACCCACUCCAACUCGAUCCAACCCCCCCAUCAGCCCCAUCCGUGACCCCAAUGUCACAACCGAGGGGACCCUCUGGGUGCGCAGCUGCUGGGUGGCCGUGCCGGCACGGUGCAGCGCUGCGCGAUGGCACCGUCAGGGCGUCCCCAGCGCCCCCGUCCCUGUCCCCGCUCACAAUGGGAGCUGCCGUUUCCCGCCACUUCCCCCCCAGCCCUUUUAUUCCCUCCCGCAGCCCCCCUUUUCCUUCCCCCUUGCCCGGCCGCCAGAUAAAAGCCUGGACGUGUGAAUCGCGGGGCACAAAGGCGACGCACAAAGGCGGCCGGCCGCGCGCAGCCCUCCUCGCUGCCCGCCCCGAGCAGGGGGAUGGAGACCUCGCGCCCAGCCCGGGGCUGUCCCGGUCCCACUGUCCCCUCCUGUCCCCUCUGUCCACACCGCCCUGGGGCCCAGGAGCUGCCGUGGGGAAUGCUUCUGGGAAAAGGGGUGUUCCAUGGGGUCAGGAUGAUGUCCCUGGGGCUGGGGUCAGGAUAUGGUCAGGAUAA